GCUCUCUGUGCCCAGGGAGCGGUGCUUCUGCUACUCUGCAGGGUGAUUGCGUCACAAUGCUCUGGCUGUGACGCGUGCCCCUCCGCCCACGGGGAAGCGCCGCUCCUCGGCUGGUGUGCAGAGCAUCAGGAGGCGAUCAUAGAAUCAUAGAAUCGCUAAGGUUGGAAAAGACCCACGGGAUCACCCAGUCCAACCAUUCGCCCUUCACCAAUGGUUCUCGCUAAACCGUGUCCCUCAGCACAACAUCCAAACGGUCUUUGAACGCCACCAGGC
rnacentral:lncRNA from 1 species